rnacentral:rRNA from 1 species
AUUGAACGCUGGCGGCAGGCCUAACACAUGCAAGUCGAGCGGAUGAAGGGAGCUUGCUCCUGGAUUCAGCGGCGGACGGGUGAGUAAUGCCUAGGAAUCUGCCUGGUAGUGGGGGAUAACGUCCGGAAACGGGCGCUAAUACCGCAUACGUCCUGAGGGAGAAAGUGGGGGAUCUUCGGACCUCACGCUAUCAGAUGAGCCUAGGUCGGAUUAGCUAGUUGGUGGGGUAAAGGCCUACCAAGGCGACGAUCCGUAACUGGUCUGAGAGGAUGAUCAGUCACACUGGAAAUGGAACAGGGACCAAGGUCCUAAGGGAGGGAACAGAGGGGAAAAAUGGGCAAAGGGCGAAAGCCUGAUCCAGCCAUGCCGCGUGUGUGAAGAAGGUCUUCGGAUUGUAAAGCACUUUAAGUUGGGAGGAAGGGCAGUAAGUUAAUACCUUGCUGUUUUGACGUUAACAACAGAAUAAGCACCGGCUAACUUCGUG